AGUCAGCCUCCCUGACAGAUGGAGAAUUCCUCAAGAGCAGGACCGUGUCUGUGUUCCCAGCACCUCCCCAUGCCUGGCACUUCGAGGAUGCUCCGUUACUAUUUGUUGAGAGAAUGGAUAAUUGAAUAAAGAAUGCUACCACCUAAGCUGCAGAGCCGUUUGCUGGAAGAAGUGAGGCCAGGAACUGGAAAGCCAGAGAGUUUGGGACACCUGUGCCAGGUGUCUGUCACCGUGCAGCGAGCGUGUCUGAGCACCUGGCAGCUUCCCUCCUUCCCCAGCCGGUCACUCACGGCCCACCUGCAGGACGGGUCCAGGAGCAGGCGGAGCCUCCUGGUGGCCCCACUUUUGCCUCCUCCCCUGCAGUAGAUGCUUCGUUACCAGAAGGCGAAGGUCAGAGUCUGGCCACGGGCCCAGCAUUUCUGGCCCAGUUUUGCCGCAGGAAGCCAACUGUGCAGAAGCAUCUCAGCCCGCUUUUCCCAGCUGAGAAGGCCUCUGUGGCUCCAGGAGAAGGUGCCCUCUCCCCAGCUGAGGCUGGCUGCUGGCAGGCAGGCCACCAGCCUUCUGCAGUCACCUCCCGCCAGCUCUGGGCCAAAGGGGCCCUGCCCCUCGGGUUCCCUCUGCGAUUUGCUUCUCUGCUGUUUCCGCUCAAGUUCCUCCUCUGCUCUCUGUCCGUGAAAACGCUCUCCCCCCUCACAAUGCCUUCUCUGAUCUGGUUUCUACAUGGCCGAGCGGGACGUUCACUGCAUCUUACAACCCACUGUUCUCCACGUGUGCUCGCGGGCCCAGCGGCAGCAGCAGCAGCCCCCUGGGAAUGUGUGGGAAAUGCACAGUCUUGGGUCCCACCCAGACCAAUGAAGCAGAAAUGAUGAGGGUGGGGCCAGCAGUCUGUGUUUUCACAGGCCCUCAGGGAUUCUGAUGUACACUCAAGGUCCAGGACCAGUAGGCUAACCUGUCUCCCCAACUGGGUGUGAGCUCCCUGCUGGCCGGGGCUGCCUCCCACUGUGGCUCCCAGAGCCUGGCACGCAGAGACCACGAGUGACCAUGAAACUGCCUCACAGACGUGCGCUGGCCUUCCUGCCGCCACACCUGGGCUCACAACAUGCCCUCAGCCCCUUCCUUCCCGCGGCCCUCCCCACAUGCUCACAAAACCUCAAGGCCAGCCGUCUCCCCUGAGUCCUGCAGCGGCCUGUUCUGCCUCAGUCUCCCUCCAUAGCCGCUGCCUGAACCUGCCAGACACCACUCUGGGCUCACCGCCUGGUCACCCCUUGGUGGGGUUGCCCUUAAACAAAAGGUCCUUUCUGCACGCAUCUUUCAUGUGACAUUUUGCACCGACUUGGUUUGUGUUUGAAGGAGCGCUGGUGCAGUAGGGGAUCAUCCUUGCAGCCACAGGGUGGAAGUCACCUGGCAGCUUCACCAGGGAAGUCAAGGUGUGUGUGUCAGUCGGCCUUUGCACCAACAUUCAUAGCAGAAGCAGUUCACACCACGUCCCCCCCUGACCUGAAGGAGAGAGAAAGGGAAGAGGCACUUGAGGUGCUCAGCGAGCUGCAAAGUUCCGUCCUCCAGCUGCUCCAAGCCCUGCGUGGGCCAUGGGGUCUGCACGGUGGGCGGGCAGGCCAUGCAGGUCUCUGCCUGACCCACACCGUGUCAGGGUUUGUUUUUACUUUCCCUGCUCUUGCUGCCACAGCCUAUGUGUCCCCAGAUUCUUCUUUUAGGCCCUGGAUGGGAGCCAGCCUCCUGCAGCUAGGCUGCCCGGGUUCGAACGCUGGCUCUGCUGCCUAGGGUAAGUUACUUGACCAUUCUGUGCCUCAGUUUCCUCAUCUGUAAAGCAGGCCUGGGUGGUAACACUUAGGUCUUAAGUUUCUUGUGCAGACAAAAUCAGAGAGGACUUGCAAAGCCUACAGAGUAGAGCUCCCACACAGGAGCCCUCCAAGCUCUUGGUCCUGAAGUGGAUACCCCUGGCCCAUGAGCCCAGUAAGGGAAGGCAAGAGCUGGUGAGUGGCAGGCUGGGUCAACCCGGGGCCUGGCUCCCUCCCCAGCCACCACCUGCCUCCAAAUCCAGCAUCAUAUAUGACUCUAAAUUAGUUUUGGGACCAGAAUUUGUAAUCUUUCUGGUUUCAAGCAUGAGGACCCUUAUUUAGUGCUAAGUAAAAUAUCUGCUUUUUGCUCUCUCAGCAUCCAUUGUCCAAGAGAAAAUAACCUAGUAGCCUUUUAGAAUUUGUAUUCCACUGACUACAACAACAUCUGUAUACAUCUGAAAACUAUUCAGACAAGUAUGUGUAAGACAAAUCUCUUCAGCCUGCAGACAGUGUGCUCGGGGCCUUGAUGGAUUCUCUGGCAGACCCCCCCAGCAGGGUGCCUCCAGGCUGGGGACCAGUGUGGUCUUCAGGAAACAAAGGCUUAAUGUAAACUGGGCUCUCCUCAGGCAGGAGUUCCCUCAACAUUCCUUGCCAGGUGUGUAGUAUGAUAAGCCCAUUUCACAGAUAAGAGCACAGAGGCACCAAGAGCUGUAUUAACUACCCAAGACGAAGCUAGUGAUUAGUAGAGCAUGAGUGAGGUCUGGGUGACCCCAAAGCCCAAGUUUUACCCCCUACCCUACCCUUCAACAUGGCAGCUACUCUCUAUUAAUCUUAUCUCCACAGCUGAGUCUGGGAACUCCUGAACAGCACAGAAGUAUCAACUAUCAGCCAGGAGCCAAUAUUCCCAGAGCAGACAGCAUAUCAGGUGCUGGUGCCUCUGUGACCUCGUUUAAUCCAGCAGGAAUCCAAUCAAUUUCCCUAUACUACAGAGGAGCAAAUCAAUUCUCAGAGAGGCUGAGUAACCUGCCCAACGUCACCCAGUUAAGAAGUGGCAGGGCUGGGGCCAGAAUCCAGGUCUGUCUGUCCCUGGGUCCCUGUUGGCCCCUUCGCAGCGUGUGAGCUUCCCAGGGCCUCAGGUAGGGAGGGGGUAGAUAGCUACCUUGAGCCAUAAAAUUCCCCUCACAACACGAUAGGUGUUAGCAAAUUUUUAAAAAUUCUUUGCCCCAGAUCAGGUCCUACAUUGGGAUGAAUCAUCUGACUCCAUAUAAAGUAACCUCAGGAUCGCUGGAUUGAUGGGGAGUGUGGGCAGAAGAGGGUUUUUUGUUGUUUUGAUCUCAACUGAAAAGCAAUUUUUAAUGUGCCAAAUGUUGCACACUCAAUCCAAUACACAGAUUUAUUACGCAGGAGGCCAAAGUGUGCUAAUCAGGAGUCAUCAUCUUGCAACAAGAAUAAAUAAGAACAAAGCCAGCA
rnacentral:lncRNA from 1 species